CCUUCUUGAAGACUCAGGGUAGCCAUUCCUUGCUCCAUAUUUAAUUUUAAUUCUAAAGUCAUCUAAUUUCAUGGAAUCUUUGAAUUUGCAGUACGUUGAACUUUUAAAAAACUGACAGUCUCAUCGAACUCAAGGAAUCUUCAGCAAAGCUCUACAUUAAUCAUACUCCUCCACCACUGUCCAAGAGUAAGGAGAGAGAAAUGGACAAGAAAGAUUUGGACAAGUCAAGGGAAAGAUCCAGAGAAAGAGAGAAAAAAGAUGAAAAGGACAGGAAAGAGCGGAAAAGGGAUCACUCAAACAACGACCGUGAAGUGCCACCGGACUUAACCAAGAGACGUAAAGAGGAGAAUGGAACAAUGGGGGUUUCAAAACAUAAAAGUGAAAGUCCUUGUGAAUCUCCUUAUCCAAAUGAGAAAGACAAGGAAAAAAAUAAGUCAAAAUCUUCAGGCAAAGAAAAAGGCAGUGAUUCAUUUAAAUCUGAGAAGAUGGAUAAAAUCUCCUCCGGUGGCAAAAAGGAGUCCAGGCAUGAUAAAGAAAAGAUAGAAAAGAAAGAGAAACGGGACAGUUCAGGAGGAAAGGAAGAGAAGAAACAUCAUAAGUCCUCGGACAAGCACAGAUAAUGAAGACUUUCCAUCAAGGUGAGAUCGGACUGGAACUGUUCAGCUGCGACCAGAAAUUUAUUUUCCUGAGUAAAUUGCCAAGAAUUAAGAAUGAAGAGGGCCAUUUGCAUCUCCUUAAAUUAUUCAGUUAUCUGCUUUAUUGCUCCAU
rnacentral:sRNA from 1 species